UGCCAUUCUUAAAAACACUGCUCAUUCAUGACAAUUAGUGGUCCAUGGAAUUCCACUGAUGGUGGUGAUCCAUCAGUUGAUGAUAGCUCUUUAAUUCAAACUGCAAUAAGAUAUGGAAAGGAUGUUGUGAAACAUGAUCUGCAGAACUGCAAGAACUGGAAUCGUUUUCUUAAGGAUGAGCUUGUUGGCAGCUUUACCUUCAACCCUUAGCUGAAAGCAUUGAUAAAUGAAUGGCUUUAUUGGUGUGAUACUGAGUCUUACAGAUUUGAUUUUGUAGUGACAUCUUUUAGGGAUGAAAGUUUUAUGAAGUGUCUCUUUUACAUUCAGCUUCUUAUAUAUGUGACAUGAGGGUAAUAUGAACAUGACAUUUGAGCAAUAUAAUUUUUUUUUUUGUU